GUCUAUGGCCAUACCAACCUGAAUGUGUGCAAUCUCACCUGAUCUUGGAAGCUAAGUAGGGGUGGGCCUAGUUAGUACUUGAAUGGGAGACCCCUGGGAAUAUGGGUGCUGUAGGCU
ensembl:rRNA 5S_rRNA 5S ribosomal RNA